CUCCCAAAGAUUAGCGGCGGACGGGUGAGUAACACGUGGGCAACCUGCCUGUAAGACUGGGAUAACUUCGGGAAACCGGAGCUAAUACCGGAUAAUCCCUUUCCUCACAUGAGGAAAGGCUGAAAGACGGCGUCUAGCUGUCACUUACAGAUGGGCCCGCGGCGCAUUAGCUAGUUGGUGAGGUAACGGCUCACCAAGGCCACGAUGCGUAGCCGACCUGAGAGGGUGAUCGGCCACACUGGGACUGAGACACGGCCCAAACUCCUACGGGAGGCAGCAGUAGGGAAUCUUCCGCAAUGGACGAAAGUCUGACGGAGCAACGCCGCGUGAGUGAUGAAGGUUUUCGGAUCGUAAAACUCUGUUGUUAGGGAAGAACAAGUAUCGGAGUAACUGCCGGUACCUUGACGGUACCUAACCAGAAAGCCACGGCUAACUACGUGCCAGCAGCCGCGGUAAUACGUAGGUGGCAAGCGUUGUCCGGAAUUAUUGGGCGUAAAGCGCGCGCAGGUGGUUCCUUAAGUCUGAUGUGAAAGCCCACGGCUCAACCGUGGAGGGUCAUUGGAAACUGGGGAACUUGAGUGCAGAAGAGGAAAGUGGAAUU
rnacentral:rRNA from 1 species